rnacentral:rRNA from 1 species
AGACCCGAAACCCGGUGAUCUAGCCAUGGGCAGGUUGAAGGUUGGGUAACACUAACUGGAGGACCGAACCGACUAAUGUUGAAAAAUUAGCGGAUGACCUGUGGCUGGGGGUGAAAGGCCAAUCAAACCGGGAGAUAGCUGGUUCUCCCCGAAAGCUAUUUAGGUAGCGCCUCGUGAAUUCAUCUCCGGGGGUAGAGCACUGUUUCGGCUAGGGGGCCAUCCCGGCUUACCAACCCGAUGCAAACUGCGAAUACCGGAGAAUGUUAUCACGGGAGACACACGGCGGGUGCUAACGUCCGUCGUGAAGAGGGAAACAACCCAGACCGCCAGCUAAGGUCCCAAAGUCAUGGUUAAGUGGGAAACGAUGUGGGAAGGCCCAGACAGCCAGGAUGUUGGCUUAGAAGCAGCCAUCAUUUAAAGAAAGCGUAAUAGCUCACUGGUCGAGUCGGCCUGCGCGGAAGAUGUAACGGGGCUAAACCAUGCACCGAAGCUGCGGCAGCGAACGUAUCACUUAAAGCGAUUCAGCGGAUGACGAUUGACGGAGCGAAGCGACGUCAAAGCGUAUACAAAGUCGAGUCGGUUUAAGGAUACGUUCGUUGGGUAGGGGAGCGUUCUGUAAGCCUGCGAAGGUGGCCUGUGAGGGUUGCUGGAGGUAUCAGAAGUGCGAAUGCUGACAUAAGUAACGAUAAAGCGGGUGAAAAGCCCGCUCGCCGGAAGACCAAGGGUUCCUGUCCAACGUUAAUCGGGGCAGGGUGAGUCGACCCCUAAGGCGAGGCCGAAAGGCGUAGUCGAUGGGAAACGGGUUAAUAUUCCCGUACUUGGUGUUACUGCGAAGGGGGGACGGAGAAGGCUAUGUUGGCCGGGCGACGGUUGUCCCGGUUUAAGCGUGUAGGUGUGUGUUCCAGGUAAAUCCGGUUCACUUUAACACUGAGGCGUGACGACGAGGCACUACGGUGCUGAAGCAACAAAUGCCCUGCUUCCAGGAAAAGCCUCUAAGCAUCAGGUAACAUCAAAUCGUACCCCAAACCGACACAGGUGGUCAGGUAGAGAAUACCAAGGCGCUUGAGAGAACUCGGGUGAAGGAACUAGGCAAAAUGGUGCCGUAACUUCGGGAGAAGGCACGCUGACAUGUAGGUGAAGUGAUUUACUCA